CCCUUAGAUGUUCUGGGCCGCACGCGCGCUACACUGGUGAAUUCAACGAGCCUAGCCUUGUCCGAAAGGUCCGGGUAAUCUCUGAAACUUCAUCGUGAUGGGGAUAGAUCAUUGCAAUUAUUGAUCUUCAACGAGGAAUUCCUAGUAAGCGCAAGUCAUCAGCUUGCGUUGAUUACGUCCCUGCCCUUUGUACACACCGCCCGUCGCUUGUACCGAUUGGAUGGUCCGGUGAAAUCUUCGGAUAGCUGGUAGUUGGCUUGCCAUCUACUGCUAAAAGUUGCUUAAACCUUAUCAUCUAGAGGAACAAGAAGUCGUAACA
rnacentral:rRNA from 1 species